GUGCACGCUGGCGGUAGGCCUAACACAUGCAGGUCGAACGGCAGCACAGUAAGAGCUUGCUCUUACGGGUGGCGAGUGGCGGACGGGUGAGGAAUACAUCGGAAUCUACUUUUUCGUGGGGGAUAACGUAGGGAAACUUACGCUAAUACCGCAUACGACCUACGGGUGAAAGCAGGGGAUCUUCGGACCUUGCGCGAUUGAAUGAGCCGAUGUCGGAUUAGCUAGUUGGCGGGGUAAAGGCCCACCAAGGCGACGAUCCGUAGCUGGUCUGAGAGGAUGAUCAGCCACACUGGAACUGAGACACGGUCCAGACUCCUACGGGAGGCAGCAGUGGGGAAUAUUGGACAAUGGGCGCAAGCCUGAUCCAGCCAUACCGCGUGGGUGAAGAAGGCCUUCGGGUUGUAAAGCCCUUUUGUUGGGAAAGAAAGGCAGCAGGUUAAUACCCCGCUGUUCUGACGGUACCCAAAGAAUAAGCACCGGCUAACUUCGUG
rnacentral:rRNA from 1 species